CACAUCCAGCCCUGGCCAGGCAUUUCUGCCGCAGGCAGAUGCGGCGCUGCGGCCGGACCGCUGUCCCCGGUGCUGAAAGGUCGAGGGCGCCCGCGCGAGCCCUCGGUAUUGCUAUCCAGGGUGCUGAGCGCGGGCCGCCGCAGUCCCCGAAGCCAGCCCACCCGCGCCAGCCCUCCGCAGAGCCCUCCCACCUGGCACGACCCGCCCGCCUCCCGCCAGCCUGCAGUUGACGUGGAGCAGGCGGCAUAAAUCAAGUCCGCGGGGCAUGGAGGCUGCUGUUGCUGCAGCAGCUCAGCUUGCCCGGGGCGGGAACUCCCCCUUUCUCCUUUCGCUUCCCCAGCACCCACACCCUGCCUCCUCCUUAAUUCUUCCCUGGAUAAUAGUACCCUAACGACAACAGUCAAAAUAAUAGGGUUAGAACGACGGGGGGGAACCCAACAGCCUAAAUAUCUCUGAAAACUGCAUCGCAAAAUGGAAGAAAGAGGGGGUCCCACUACUGUUUCAAAAGAGUAAGUUAUUAUUCGGAGCCAUGGAAGCCAAAUGCUGAGGAUGGUGGCAUCAUAGGAUGAAUGGAGCUGGGUUCUUGAAGAACUGCUUGGAGGAAAGACAGCAAAAAUGCCUCAUGAAUCCAACUGGACUGUUAAGAUGCUCACCCUUGGAGACCAGCAACAAUGUGUGCAGAAACCAAGGCCAUGUGGAGAGGCCCCACGUACGUGUCCAGCUGAGGUCCCAGCUGACAGCUGGCAUUGACAUGUGAGUGAGACUCUGAACUGUCCCAGCUGAUGACAAGUGCAGUUUGAGCGAGCUAUCCCUGUUGGACCUGUCAAAACUGCAGAUUUCAUGAAGAAAAUAAGUGUUGUUGAUUUAAGCCAGUAAGUUUUGACAUACUAUGUUAAACAGCCAUAGUAAUUGGAAGAGUGUGAAACAAAUACUAGUCUUUUGAGUCUCAUUUUUCUAUAAAGUUUAUCUUCCCCCUUCCUUGCAUAAGGAUUCUUUCUCUUUUUCUCUCAGACAGUUCUGUUAUCCCUGCUAGUGAUGCUAUUACUACUUCAAAUACUAUUGUU